rnacentral:rRNA from 1 species
UACGUAGGGCGCAAGCGUUGUCCGGAAUUAUUGGGCGUAAAGAGCUCGUAGGCGGUUUGUCGCGUCUGUCGUGAAAGCCCACGGCUUAACCGUGGGUCUGCGGUGGAUACGGGCAGACUAGAGGCAGGUAGGGGAGAAUGGAAUUCCCGGUGUAGCGGUGAAAUGCGCAGAUAUCGGGAGGAACACCGGUGGCGAAGGCGGUUCUCUGGGCCUGUACUGACGCUGGGGAGCGAAAGCGUGGGGAGCGAACAGG